rnacentral:tRNA from 1 species
UGUUCAUAUAGUUUAAUAAAAAUGUUGGUUUGUGGAUCCAAAGAUAUAGUUAUAAUAUAUUGUGGAC